UUAAGCUGCCUGAUGGGAGCCAAUGAAGGCCCUCGCUCCCAUUGGUGGCUAUGUCAGGGGAAAAUGUAGGUAUUAUUAAAGACCAAUCUCAUCCUCCCUCUCAUUUUACUAGGCUGCUUUCUGCAUUGGGUAUUAAUGAGUCAUAUUACCUUCGAGAAAACAAAACAAAAAACCAGCCUGGCUAAUUUCAAAACCUGUCGUUUGAGAAAUAAUCUGUGAAGACCUUCUGACUGGAGAUGGAGGAAGGAAGGCACAUUUGCUCAGCAUUAGAUACUUUAGAUAUACAUUCAUAAAGGUUGUAAACAGCCUCGCUGUUGAACCCUGUGGCCUCAGUCUCCAUGUAAACCAGCUGAGCUUUUUUUGUAGGUAGCAAGGCCCUGCAGCAGGCAACUGAGAACAGUUGAGUUAAGAGAAUCCUUAUCACCUGGCAAAGGGACCUCUUCCAUCUCUGGAUCUUCUGGAUAUCAGGAGACUUGCUUUCAUGGGAAGUGGCUAAAAUAGAAUGAGGAAGAAAAAUGCAAUCACCAUUCUUUCAGAUCAUCUGGAAAAAGGGGCUGUUUUUCAGCUGGAUCAGUUCUCUGAUCUGGUUCACCAUGUGGCUGCACAAACAUUUAUGAUGGCACAGUACAACAGAUGAUCUGGGUGAAGAUGUGGGAGUGGGAGAAAGCAGGGACUGCUUCAUUGGAAAUUUUGCAUGCUUGAAAGAAUACCAAAUUGCAGCUCAAGGAAGAAAGGAUUUGAAGCAGGAUGACACAUCGGAGAAGAGGGUUGAAGGAUAUGCCUAAUUCCCCAGAAACGAAAACUUGGCUUAAAAUGCCAAAUGGUGCAAUUACAGGAGGUGAAGAUCAGCCGGCACAGCCACUUCCAAAUAAUGCCAUCUGCAGAAAAAGGCAAUGCACUUUUCAACAUGACUGUGAAGAGGAAUUGCCAUUCUCUAGCCUUGCUCAGACAGAACACGUGCUUCAUGAGAAUGUCUGUCUCAUGAAGGUGCUUGUUCAGGAGUGGUAGUGGAAGCCCAACUCCAAUCCAUGUUGGUAUUUAUGGUCCGAAACAUCAGUCCUACCCACAAUAGGAGAUUUCACCACAAAAUAUCUAACUGGUUGCCCUAGUGUAGAUAGGUGGAUCUCGGGCACCUUCUGCUGCUUUUGCCACAGAGGUGAUAGUUGUGGUUGCAGUGUCUUCGCCAUUCAUGCCAAAGAGUUGCUUUUGCAAGAGAUACUCCUCCAGAUCUACUGUGUAAACAGAACUGAAAGGUAAACCAUUGGUAUCAUUUGUGCCAUCUAUAUUCUCAGUAUCUCCCUGAAUCCUCAUCCUAGAGGAAGCGAUGUUUAAC
rnacentral:lncRNA from 1 species